GAGACUCUGUGCGCGUGCAUAUCAAUAAGCGGAGGAAAAGAAACUAACAAGGAUUCCCCUAGUAACGGCGAGUGAAGCGGGAAGAGCUCAAAUUUGAAAUCUUAAAGGGUUUCCCUUUACGAAUUGUAGUUUAAAGAAGUGUUUUCUGUUGGAGUUUCGGUAAAAGUUCUUUGGAAUAGGACAUCAUAGAGGGUGAGAAUCCCGUAUUUGACCGUUACUUUCCAGCUGUGUGAUACACUUUCAAAGAGUCGGAUUGUUUGGGAAUGCAGUCCAAGAUGGGUGGUAAAUUUCAUCUAAAGCUAAAUAUUGGCGAGAGACCGAUAGCGAACAAGUACCGUGAGGGAAAGAUGAAAAGAACUUUGAAAAGAGAGUUAAACAGUACGUGAAAUUGUCAAAAGGGAAGCGUUUGACACCAGUGUUGUUUUUCCGAAAAUCAAUUAUAAAUGUUUUGUUUCUGAGGAGUGAUGACUUCAUCGGCUUCCUUCUCUCUUCACGAAACUUUUGUAAUGCACUUUUCGGUUAACAAGUCAACAUCAAUUUCUUUUGUUGUAAAAGAGUAUUCGGAAGGUGGCUUUCUUUUCGGAGAAAGUGUUUAUAGCCCUAUACUUCUACAAUCGGAGAGAUUGAGGUCUGCAGCGUAGAUCCUUCGGGGUUAGAUACACUUGUGCUAAGCUAUAGCCUUGUAUAGACAACUUGUUGACUAUAGCUCAGUCAUGUAGCUUACUCGCUGAUGCUAUUUUACCUACGCUUAGGAUGUUGACAGCAGUAUAGACUGU
rnacentral:rRNA from 1 species